AUUGAUUUCAUGAGACAAUAUACAUGGGACAAGCAUUUAGAGACAUGGGUUAAGGCAUCUGGAAUACUUGGUGGUCCGAAAAAUGCUUCCCCAACGAUUAUUUCUCCAAAACAAUACAAGAAGAGAUUUCGAAAAGCAAUGACUUCUUAUUUUCUCACAGUUCCUGAUCAAUGGUCUUCAUAAACCGAAUCAUUGCAAUUCUUUCCAUUCAAAAAUCAUUUGUUCAUUAAUAAGGCAAUAGUGUUCAUAGCUGGAGAUAAGUUGGAAGGAUUGGCAAUCCAUCCCGGUGAAAAUUCUCCUCCAUUUUGUUGAAAUAUUGUGUAUUAGCAAACAUAGACCAAACAGGAAGGAUUGUAUAUGAGGGAAUAGAAAUAGAAAUUCCUUUUUGA
rnacentral:misc_RNA from 1 species